rnacentral:rRNA from 1 species
AAUGAACGCUGGCGGCAGGCCUAACACAUGCAAGUCGAGCGAGCGGCGGACGGGUGAGUAAUGUAUGGGGAUCUGCCCGAUAGAGGGGGAUAACUACUGGAAACGGUGGCUAAUACCGCAUACUAUCGGAUGAACCCAGAUGGGAUUAGCUAGUAUGUGGGGUAAAGGCUCACCUAGGCGACGAUCUCUAGCUGGUCUGAGAGGAUGAACAGCCACACUGGGACUGAGACACGGCCCAGACUCCACCGGGAGGCAGAAGUGGGGAAUAGUGCACAAUGGGGGAAAGCCUGAUGCAGCCAUGCCGCGUGUAGGAAGAAGGCCUUAGGGUUGUAAAUUACUUUCAGCGGGGAGGCGUUACCCGCAGAAGAAGCACCGGCUAACUCCGUGCCAGCAGCCGCGGUAAUAC